rnacentral:lncRNA from 1 species
AUGUUGAUUAAGUAAACGCGGACCUCGAAGAAGACACCCAUUGACAUGCCUGUUUGAAGCAAUAUCAAAUAUGAAUAGGAACGUUAUUUAAUCAUAAUGAUUGUUCAUAGUUUCUAACAACACUUCUUCGAACGCAAGUCAUCUCAUGAAUAUUAUUGACGGCUCAUGAAUAUUAUUGCAGGCUGGCCUCAUGAAUAUUAACGCCGGCUGCUAUCGACGGCUAGCUUCACACUAGU